UUGAAGUAUACUAGUGAUUUUACAUGCACAACCUUGCUUAUGAGUACUUAUAUAAAAGCUAUGAAGAGUUACAAUUGUCUAAAAUUGUUGUUAGAGGUUCUAUAUUUUGACGUGUAUCGCUUGUCGGGUGUUUACUUGAUCUUGUUCUUCUUUGGGUUGGAUAAAGUUGAUUCUCCCUUGAUUAUUACUUGAUAUCUAGAGAUCAAAAUUUUAUAACUUAAGUUCAUUGAAAGAUUGUGUUGUGAGAAG
rnacentral:lncRNA from 1 species